rnacentral:tRNA from 1 species
GCGGGGGUGCCCGAGCCAGGUCAAAGGGGGUGGACUGAGGCUCCACUGGCGUAGGCCUGCGUGGGUUCAAAUCCCACCCCCCGCACCA